ACCCUCUCCCUUCCCUACCCAGUGCCCCGUCUAAGUCCCCACUCGGAAGUGGAUUCUCACCCCUCACGGCCCUUUGUGGGCAACGCCAGGAGGAGGAAGGCCGCAACCUCCCACUGGCUUUGGGGUUUCUUAGACAUCAGUAGUCUUCUAAGGCCCUCCACCCUGCCCGCACCCCUCCUUCAUCCUCGCGUCUCUUAGGACCCUGCCCUGCUGCCCUCAGGCCUUUCCUUAGUCACAGACUCGGGAAGGCACCUGAACUCCCUCGGCUUGGACAUCACCGGCCACAGUCCUGUGACGCCCUGUGAUCUUCUGUCCCAGAUCUCAUUCCACUGGCUGUGCCUGUCAGGGUGUGCUUAGAUUUUGGUGUCCCAAUCCAAACUCCCUUCAUUCCAACUUCCACCAAGACCGCUUCUCUGGAUCCAUCCCUGGAGUUGACACAACAGGGAUCUUCAGCCCCAGAAAGCCCUUGGGACGUUCUCCUUGAAGCUCCCCUAAGUGGGAGUAGAAGUUCAUCUCCUGACACUCCACGUUUUAUUCAUGAGUCCUGAGUUAUGACACAGAGGACACAGUUGUGUUCCCCUUACUGUGGACUAGCAGAUAAAGCACCUUAAUCUCUCAGCCACCAUGCAAACCCUUCUUAUCUUUGAUUCAGUAUACUUUUCCACAAGCAAAAUAAAAGUUCUGACUAA